rnacentral:rRNA from 1 species
UACAGAGGGGGCAAGCGUUGUUCGGAAUUACUGGGCGUAAAGGGCUCGUAGGCGGCCAACUAAGUCGGACGUGAAAUCCCUCGGCUUAACCGGGGAACUGCGUCCGAUACUGGAUGGCUUGAGUUUGGGAGAGGGAUGCGGAAUUCCAGGUGUAGCGGUGAAAUGCGUAGAUAUCUGGAGGAACACCGGUGGCGAAGGCGGCAUCCUGGACCGACAUUGACGCUGAGGCGCGAAAGCCAGGGGAGCAAACGGG